rnacentral:ncRNA from 2 species
CUUGCCGAGGAGCGCUGCGACCCACCGAACCUGUGCGGGCCAGGCUCGGCAACCGAUCAACGGCGCUCACAAACC